GUUACAUCUAAAUACACCAAACAUGGAAAAUAUUUUAACACGUCAAAUGAGAGGAAAAUAUAAUAGCUUUAUUUAAAACCAGAUUUAUUUUUUUCCUUAUUUUGAGUCUUCAGUGUUUAAACUAGCUUCAAGUUCCUUCCUGAGGUUGUUUAAGCUCAGAUAAAGCAGUGUACACGGCAGUCUCCCGUGAGGAGAACAUCUCAC